AGCAAACAGGAUUAGAUACCCUGGUAGUCCACGCUGUAAACGAUGUCGAUUUGGAGGUUGUGGGCAUGACCCGUGGCUUCCGGAGCUAACGCGUUAAAUCGACCGCCUGGGGAGUACGGCCGCAAGGUUAAAACUCAAAUGAAUUGACGGGGGCCCGCACAAGCGGUGGAGCAUGUGGUUUAAUUCGAUGCAACGCGAAGAACCUUACCUACUCUUGACAUCCAGAGAAUUUAGCAGAGAUGCUGAAGUGCCUUCGGGAGCUCUGAGACAGGUGCUGCAUGGCUGUCGUCAGCUCGUGUUGUGAAAUGUUGGGUUAAGUCCCGCAACGAGCGCAACCCUUAUCCUUUGUUGCCAGCACGUAAUGGUGGGAACUCAAAGGAGACUGCCGGUGAUAAACCGGAGGAAGGUGGGGAUGACGUCAAGUCAUCAUGGCCCUUACGAGUAGGGCUACACACGUGCUACAAUGGCGCAUACAAAGUGAAGCGAGCUCGCGAGAGUAAGCGGACCACAUAAAGUGCGUCGUAGUCCGGAUCGGAGUCUGCAACUCGACUCCGUGAAGUCGGAAUCGCUAGUAAUCGUAGAUCAGAAUGCUACGGUGAAUACGUUCCCGGGCCUUGUACACACCGCCCGUCACACCAUGGGAGUGGGUUGCAAAAGAAGUAGGUAGCUUAACCUUCGGGAGGGCGCUUACCACUUUGUGAUUCAUGACUGGGGUGAAGUCGUAACAAGGUA
rnacentral:rRNA from 1 species